rnacentral:sRNA from 1 species
GAAGCUUCGACCAAGGUUCGACUCGAGCGAAGCGAGAGAACGUUGCCGCAGGCAACGGCCCGAAGGGCGAGGCGCUUUAGCGCCGAGUAAUCCUUCCCCCACCACCA